AGUUGGUACCAAUCGGUGGGAAUGUCGAUACCCCUAUGGAGGAUGCAAGUGGGGAAAAUAUUGUAACCCUUCUAGCUGAAUCGGAGCUGUCGUUUGAGGAAAUAUUGGAACCACUUUAAGUGGUUUUAUUCUGGACCCGGGAUGUGGGCUUUGAACAAAUUAAAUUUCUUCACUCUUAUGUUUUUAAUAUUUUAACUGGCAGAACAUAGAGUAUUUAAAUUUGAAAUAUAAAUUUUU
rnacentral:lncRNA from 1 species